AGCUUUGCGCAGUGGCAGUAUCGUAGCCAAUGAGGUUUAUCCGAGGCGCGAUUAUUGCUAAUUAAAAAAAUUAAAUCAAAUUAAAUUAAAACAAAGAAGUAAAUUAGAAAUAAAGCAAAUUCUUCUUCUGAGG
ensembl:snRNA U4 U4 spliceosomal RNA